GAUGAACGCUGGCGGCGUGCCUAAUACAUGCAAGUCGAGCGAACGGACGAGAAGCUUGCUUCUCUGAUGUUAGCGGCGGACGGGUGAGUAACACGUGGAUAACCUACCUAUAAGACUGGGAUAACUUCGGGAAACCGUAGCUAAUACCGGAUAAUAUUUUGAACCGCAUGGUUCAAAAGUGAAAGACGGUCUUGCUGUCACUUAUAGAUGGAUCCGCGCUGCAUUAGCUAGUUGGUAAGGUAACGGCUUACCAAGGCACCGAUGCAUAGCCGACCUGAGAGGGUGAUCGGCCACACUGGAACUGAGACACGGUCCAGACUCCUACGGGAGGCAGCAGUAGGGAAUCUUCCGCAAUGGGCGAAAGCCUGACGGAGCAACGCCGCGUGAGUGAUGAAGGUCUUCGGAUCGUAAAACUCUGUUAUUAGGGAAGAACAUAUGUGUAAGUAACUGUGCACAUCUUGACGGUACCUAAUCAGAAAGCCACGGCUAACUACGUG
rnacentral:rRNA from 1 species